CUGUCCAACGUUAAUCGGGGCAGGGUGAGUCGACCCCUAAGGCGAGGCCGAAAGGCGUAGUCGAUGGGAAACGGGUUAAUAUUCCCGUACUUGGUGUUACUGCGAAGGGGGGACGGAGAAGGCUAUGUUGGCCGGGCGACGGUUGUCCCGGUUUAAGCGUGUAGGUGUGUGUUCCAGGUAAAUCCGGUUCACUUUAACACUGAGGCGUGACGACGAGGCACUACGGUGCUGAAGCAACAAAUGCCCUGCUUCCAGGAAAAGCCUCUAAGCAUCAGGUAACAUCAAAUCGUACCCCAAACCGACACAGGUGGUCAGGUAGAGAAUACCAAGGCGCUUGAGAGAACUCGGGUGAAGGAACUAGGCAAAAUGGUGCCGUAACUUCGGGAGAAGGCACGCUGACACGUAGGUGAAGUGAUUUACUCAUGGAGCUGAAGUCAGUCGAAGAUACCAGCUGGCUGCAACUGUUUAUUAAAAACACAGCACUGUGCAAACACGAAAGUGGACGUAUACGGUGUGACGCCUGCCCGGUGCCGGAAGGUUAAUUGAUGGGGUCAGCGCAAGCGAAGCUCCUGAUCGAAGCCCCGGUAAACGGCGGCCGUAACUAUAACGGUCCUAAGGUAGCGAAAUUCCUUGUCGGGUAAGUUCCGACCUGCACGAAUGGCGUAAUGAUGGCCAGGCUGUCUCCACCCGAGACUCAGUGAAAUUGAACUCGCUGUGAAGAUGCAGUGUACCCGCGGCAAGACGGAAAGACCCCGUGAACCUUUACUAUAGCUUGACACUGAACAUUGAGCCUUGAUGUGUAGGAUAGGUGGGAGGCUUUGAAGUGUGGACGCCAGUCUGCAUGGAGCCGACCUUGAAAUACCACCCUUUAAUGUUUGAUGUUCUAACGUGGACCCGUUACCCGGGUUGCGGACAGUGUCUGGUGGGUAGUUUGACUGGGGCGGUCUCCUCCUAAAGAGUAACGGAGGAGCACGAAGGUUGGCUAAUCCUGGUCGGACAUCAGGAGGUUAGUGCAAUGGCAUAAGCCAGCUUGACUGCGAGCGUGACGGCGCGAGCAGGUGCGAAAGCAGGUCAUAGUGAUCCGGUGGUUCUGAAUGGAAGGGCCAUCGCUCAACGGAUAAAAGGUACUCCGGGGAUAACAGGCUGAUACCGCCCAAGAGUUCAUAUCGACGGCGGUGUUUGGCACCUCGAUGUCGGCUCAUCACAUCCUGGGGCUGAAGUAGGUCCCAAGGGUAUGGCUGUUCGCCAUUUAAAGUGGUACGCGAGCUGGGUUUAGAACGUCGUGAGACAGUUCGGUCCCUAUCUGCCGUGGGCGCUGGAGAACUGAGGGGGGCUGCUCCUAGUACGAGAGGACCGGAGUGGACGCAUCACUGGUGUUCGGGUUGUCAUGCCAAUGGCACUGCCCGGUAGCUAAAUGCGGAAGAGAUAAGUGCUGAAAGCAUCUAAGCACGAAACUUGCCCCGA
rnacentral:rRNA from 1 species